GACGAACGCUGGCGGCGUGCUUAACACAUGCAAGUCGAACGGUGAAGGUGGAGCUUGCUCCGCCGGAUCAGUGGCGAACGGGUGAGUAACACGUGGGCAACCUGCCCCUCACUUCGGGAUAACUCCGGGAAACCGGGGCUAAUACCGAAUACGACCUCCUUUGGCCUCCCGGGAGGUGGAAAGGUUUUCGGGGAGGGAAGGGCCCGCGGCCUAUCAGCUUGUUGGUGAGGUAACGGCUCACCAAGGCGACGACGGGUAGCCGGCCUGAGAGGGCGACCGGCCACACUGGGACUGAGACACGGCCCAGACUCCUACGGGAGGCAGCAGUGGGGAAUAUUGCGCAAUGGGCGAAAGCCUGACGCAGCAACGCCGCGUGCGGGAUGAAGGCCUUCGGGUUGUAAACCGCUUUCAGCAGGGAAGAAGCCGCAAGGUGACGGUACCUGCAGAAGAAGCACCGGCUAACUACGUGCCAGCCGCCGCAGUAA
rnacentral:rRNA from 1 species